AUGUCAAGUCUCAGUCAUCAGUAUGGUGCACUGGAAAGGCUUUGUGCGAAAGCCUUGAGGGCUGAGAGGCAGCUGACAGCCAUUAUCCGAGGCCAAGAGCACCUGGGAACGCCAGGAUCUGACCCCAUUUGGGCAUCUCAUCUCAAGAUUUUCUUUUUUCCUGUAGAUGUUUAUAGGAGUUGAGUGAAGUAAUAAACUACGAGUCUGGGGAGGCGAGCCAUGCACUACGUGCUGUCAGGCCCAAAACAGGAGAGAAUUUAAGGGUGGGUACUUUUUUAUUAAACAGUAAUUUUGAGAAACUCCUUACUGCAGGACCUGAGCAUCUCCCAGCCCACCUGAAUGGGGAGACCUUGUGGUGUGUCACAUUGCUGCUCCAAACAAGCACAGUGAAGUCAAAGUCUAGCAGUAAAAACCAUUAGCUAUUUCCUGCUCCCAGUCUGGGUGCACAGGCUCAGCCUUCUAGUAACUGUGGGAGAAUGACAGGCUGCCCAAUACUCAUAUAGGGUUAGAACAGCAAUCACGG
rnacentral:lncRNA from 1 species